CGGAAACGAUGGAAGCUUGCUUCCAGGCGUCGAGUGGCGGACGGGUGAGUAAUACUUAGGAAUCUGCCCUUUAGUGGGAGACAACUCGAGGAAACUCGAGCUAAUACCGCAUACGCACUACGGUGGAAAGUGGAGGACCCUUCGGGGCUUCACGCUAAAGGAUGAGCCUAAGUCGGAUUAGCUUGUUGGUGGGGUAAAGGCCUACCAAAGCGACGAUCCGUAGCUGGUCUGAGAGGACGAUCAGCCACACUGGGACUGAGACACGGCCCAGACUCCUACGGGAGGCAGCAGUGGGGAAUAUUGGACAAUGGGCGCAAGCCUGAUCCAGCAAUGCCGCGUGUGUGAAGAAGGCCUGCGGGUUGUAAAGCACUUUCAGUAAGGAAGAAAAGCCUAGGGUUAAUACCCCUGAGUCUUGACGUUACUUACAGAAGAAGCACCGGCUAACUCCGUGCCAGCAGCCGCGGUAAUACGGAGGGUGCAAGCGUUAAUCGGAAUUACUGGGCGUAAAGCGCGCGUAGGCGGCUUUGUAAGUCGGAUGUGAAAGCCCAGGGCUUAACCCUGGAAUUGCAUUCGAUACUGCAGAACUAGAGUAUGGUAGAGGGAAGUGGAAUUUCCGGUGUAGCGGUGAAAUGCGUAGAUAUCGGAAGGAACACCAGUGGCGAAGGCGACUUCCUGGGCCAAUACUGACGCUGAGGUGCGAAAGCGUGGGUAGCAAACAGGAUUAGAUACCCUGGUAGUCCACGCCGUAAACGAUGAGAACUAGAUGUCGGGAGGAUCUGCCUCUCGGUGUCGCAGCUAACGCGUUAAGUUCUCCGCCUGGGGAGUACGCCGGCAACGGUAAGACUCAAAGGAAUUGACGGGGACCCGCACAAGCGGUGGAGCAUGUGGUUUAAUUCGAUGCAACGCGAGAACCUUACCUGCCCUUGACAUUGACAGAUCCUGUAGAGAUACAGGAGUGCUUCGGCCUGGAAAACAGUGCUGCAUGGCUGUCGUCAGCUCGUGUCGUGAG
rnacentral:rRNA from 1 species